rnacentral:rRNA from 1 species
UACGUAGGCAGCGAGCGUUGUUCGGAGUUACUGGGCGUAAAGAGUGCGUAGGCGGUUUUCUAAGUUUGGUGUGAAAUCUCCCGGCUCAACUGGGAGGGUGCGCCGAAGACUGGAAGGCUUGAGUAUGGGAGAGGUAAGCGGAAUUCCUGGUGUAGCGGUGAAAUGCGUAGAUAUCAGGAGGAACACCAGUGGCGAAGGCGGCUGUCUGGGGUAUUGCUGACGCUGAGGCACGAAAGCCAGGGGAGCGAACGGG